AUUGAACGCUGGCGGCAUGCCUUACACAUGCAAUCGAACGGUAACAGGUCUUCGGAUGCUGACGAGUGGCGAACGGGUGAGUAAUACAUCGGAACGUGCCUAGUAGUGGGGGAUAACUACUCGAAAGAGUGGCUAAUACCGCAUGAGAUCUACGGAUGAAAGCAGGGGAUCGCAAGACCUUGUGCUACUAGAGCGGCCGAUGGCAGAUUAGGUAGUUGGUGGGAUAAAAGCUUACCAAGCCGACGAUCUGUAGCUGGUCUGAGAGGACGAUCAGCCACACUGGGACUGAGACAAGGCCCAGACUCCUACGGGAGUCAGCAGUGGGGAAUUUUGGACAAUGGGCGAAAGCCUGAUCCAGCAAUGCCGCGUGCAGGAUGAAGGCCUUCGGGUUGUAAACUGCUUUUGUACGGAACGAAAAGCCCCGGGUUAAUACCCUGGGGUCAUGACGGUACCGUAAGAAUAAGCACCGGCUAACUACGUGCCAGCCGCCGCGGUAA
rnacentral:rRNA from 1 species